rnacentral:misc_RNA from 1 species
UGGAAACCUACUUGUGGUGUGAAGUGUUUGCUAGAGGAAGAGGCAAUCAAGGUUGGAGGAUCUAAUCAUAGCCAUGCCACUCAGGAUCUAUAUGACUCGAUUGCAGCUGGCAACUAUCCAGAAUGGAAACUUUACAUCCAGACAAUGGAUCCUGAUCAUGAAGACAAAUUUGAUUUUGAUCCACUUGAUGUGACUAAGACCUG